CGGGCGGUGUCGCCACCGCCUUCUCGCCCGCGUCGGUCAAGUCAGGUGGCUGGUACCUUAGUACUCCAGAUCUCCUCGAAUGUUUAAAAAAAUAUUUCGUACAGUCAAAUGACUUUCCGUCAUAUAAGCUGUAAACAAGGCAUCUUGAGAAAGUGUUUGUUCAUCUGUAGCCUAGAAGGACCCCUCAGCUGAAGGCAUCCUGGGCAGGGAGAAGCCAUGGAGCUGGAUGGGACAGUGCAGUGACCAAAGAGCACAGUUACGUCAGUCAGAGGAGAGAGGAACUGAACUGGGGACCAAGGCUUGAGGAAGCAACAGAUGGAGUCAACUGGAAGCCUUGCGAAGACCCGGGAAAGAGAGCUAGGACGAGACCCAAGUGUAGUAAUUUUUUAGUAAUGUAAAUGGUUAUCAAUAAACAAAACUGAGUACGGCCAUGAGGUGCCUACCAUCUCAGGUUGCUAGAGAGCAGAAGCAUGCCGGCUCCACCUCCCUUCUGCUUUGACCCCUCACCAUUACUAUGGCAACAAGCUUUCCAGUAAAUGUUGGAAAAACUCAA